UACGUAGGGAGCGAGCGUUGUCCGGAUUCAUUGGGCGUAAAGAGCUCGUAGGCGGCUUGGUAAGUCGGAUGUGAAACCUCCAGGCUCAACCUGGAGUCGCCAUCCGAUACUGCCAUGGCUAGAGUCCGGUAGGGGCCCACGGAAUUCCUGGUGUAGCGGUGAAAUGCUCAGAUAUCAGGAGGAACACCGAUGGCGAAGGCAGUGGGCUGGGCCGGCACUGACGCUGAGGAGCGAAAGCGUGGGGAGCGAACAGG
rnacentral:rRNA from 1 species